rnacentral:rRNA from 1 species
UGAGUAAUGUCUGGGAAACUGCCUGAUGGAGGGGGAGUAACUACUGGAAACGGUAGCUAAUACCGCAUAACGUCGCAAGACCAAAGAGGGGGACCGUUCGGGCCUCUUGCCAUCAGAUGUGCCCAGAUGGGAUUAGCUAGUAGGUGGGGUAACGGCUCACCUAGGCGACGAUCCCUAGCUGGUCUGAGAGGAUGACCAGCCACACUGGAACUGAGACACGGUCCAGACUCCUACGGGAGGCAGCAUG